rnacentral:rRNA from 1 species
UACAGAGGUGGCAAGCGUUGUUCGGAAUUACUGGGCGUAAAGGGCGCGUAGGCGGUUCGUUAAGUCCUGUGUGAAAUCCCCCGGCUCAACUGGGGAACUGCACAGGAAACUAGCGGGCUUGAGCUCGGGAGAGGGAAGCGGAAUUCCGGGUGUAGCGGUGAAAUGCGUAGAUAUCCGGAGGAACACCGGUGGCGAAGGCGGCUUCCUGGACCGACACUGACGCUGAGGCGCGAAAGCUAGGGGAGCAAACGGG